ACUGAAUGUAGUGAUUUAAUGAUAAGUUUCCAAAUAGUAUCAAUUCUAAUAUCAGAAAGAAAUCACUCUAGGAAUGAAACUCCACCAUAUGACACUAAGCCUACAAGUUUUCUGAUUUUGGUUAAUAUCAUGAUUUUCAGGAACCUAACCCUGAUGUUAAAUGAUGACUCGUGUACUGGAUUUACCUUUGUAUAUUAUUAUUUUUUAAUCCUAUUUGUGAUAUCCCAAAGUAUAGGAAUUUUAUAUUCAAGUAUAUCAUUAAAUCUAAUAUAAAAAAAAUAUUGUUUUAAGGAGCUCUUGACAUCAUAUAAGCAACUUUGUUUAUUAUUUUUUGCUGUUCAUGAAAUUUAACAUUUAAUUAUAGAUUGAUUAUAUCAUAUACUGCCAUUUUAAAAUUUUCUUCUUAACACAUUGAUAUCAGCUAUAGGAAAAUUUCGGGAUUUCAUUG
rnacentral:lncRNA from 1 species